rnacentral:rRNA from 1 species
GACGAACGCUGGCGGCGUGGAUUAGGCAUGCAAGUCGAACGGUAGGAUACCUUCGGGUAUCUGAGAGUGGCGAACGGGUGAGUAACACGUAGGUGAUCUACCCUCAAGAUUGGGACAACCCAGGGAAACUUGGGCUAAUACCGGAUGAAAGCAGCAGUGAUGUUGUUUGAAAGGUGGCGUAAGCUGCCGUUUGGGGAUGAGCCUGCGCUCUAUUAGUUAGUUGGCGGGGUAAAGGCCCACCAAGGCGAUGAUAGAUAGGCGGCCUUAACGGGUGGUCGCCCACACUGGGAUUGAGAUACGGCCCAGACUCCUACGGGAGGCAGCAGUCGAGAAUAGUCUACAAUGGCCGAAAGGCUGAUAGUGCGACGCCGCGUGAACGAAGAAGCCCUUCGGGUGUAAAGUUCUUUUAUAUGUGAGCAGUGCUUUCUAUGUGAACAGCAUGGGGAGAGAGAUUUAGCAUAUGAAUAAGCAACGGCUAACUCCGUGCCAGC